rnacentral:rRNA from 1 species
UACGGGGGGGGGGCAAGCGUUGUUCGGAAUUACUGGGCGUAAAGGGCUCGUAGGCGGCCAACUAAGUCAGACGUGAAAUCCCUCGGCUUAACCGGGGAACUGCGUCUGAUACUGGAUGGCUUGAGUUUGGGAGAGGGAUGGCGGAAUUCCUGGUGUAGCGGUGAAAUGCGCAGAUAUCAGGAGGAACACCAAUGGCGAAGGCAGCACUCUGGGACGUGACUGACGCUGAGACGCGAAAGCGUGGGGGAGCAAACAGG